AAUCACAGAAUAGUUGGGCGUGGAAGGGACCUCUGGAGAUCACCCAGUCCAACCCCCCUACCCAGGAAGGGUCACCUGGAGCAGGAGCCCAGAACUGGACACAGCACUCCAGAUGUGGCCGAUGUGCCACUCUGUCACCGCCUCGGGGACACAAGACACCGCCAGGGACAGGCCCUGGCACAGACCCACAGCCCUGGACCCAGGCUGGCAAGGGGGAUGAGUCCCAGCUGAAGCACAAACUCACAGGUGAUGUUUCCAGGGGCCACAGAGCAACUGAUCUGAGUGGAGAUCCCCAUGAUGAGGAAGACCAGGGACAACCUUCCCCUAUGAUGCACCUGCUCCAAAGUGUUAAAGGACUUCACCACCCUCAGGCCUUCUGUGGCAUGAUCCACCCACACUCAAUAUUGAUCUGCCUUCUGUAAAGGGAGCAACUAUUAAGAACAUCAAUAUUCUCUUCAUAUUUUAUCUUUCCAGCCCUAUAAUUGAAGUCUCAUUAAUUUUUUGUACCAUCCUGCACCACAGGAAGAAGUCAGGAACAGAUACAGGGGAAAAUUACAAGGGAGAGGGGAUGGCAUUUUUAACGACUAGAAAGCGUAGGCAGCAUUUGUUUUGGGCACAUUGAGAUUAACCAAGAGCAGCUGCUUUUCAGAACAAUUCCACUCUUUUCUGUUUCAGAAACACACAGAACAGCAGUUUCCAGACUCUGGCAUUGUACACAACUCCUUGCUUUGAACCCCAAACCUCUCCUACAGAUGCCAAGGCCAGCACAAACACAAGAGCCUGUGCAACCUUUCCAACCACUCACAGCAGCACCAAGCAGCCUGCCACUGGGAACCACUGCCUCCAAAAUCCAUCCAAUCAAAUAGGAGAAGCUACUCAACAACCUGACCGAAUUAUUCUGCCCAAUUCAAUUGUCUGAGAUCCCCAUCCUCUUCCUCCAUCCUUUUCUGCAUUGCCAAGGGGCAGUAUGUCCCAAAAAGAGAGCCAAACCAAGCACUCUCCAGGCUGACAUUCUCUAGAUGGGUGGCUUGCACAGAUCAGACACACCUCAGUCCUACUUCAUUAGUUCUAUUCACACUGCUUUUCCCAAAAUUAAAACAACCCCUUCCAUUGGUACAAUACAUCACAAAUGGACAGAAGAAUAAACAUUACGUGACGUUCCUUCACAA